rnacentral:lncRNA from 1 species
UGUUAAAAUAGUGUUAAUUUCACCUUUUUAGUUAAAUAAAAUAGGUUUGUUAAAUAAUUAGGUAUUUUCUCUUUUAGAAAAAUAUUCAUAAAAUUAAAAUAAAUGUUUUUUUUAGGCUUUUAUAUUUUCUUUUUGCUGUUUAAUUUUUCAUUUCUUUCUUUUUGCAGAUUUGCCCUUGGAAAAAUGGGCCAAGCCACAUUUGAAUCAGCACUGAAUGGAGAAGUCACUUUUGGACCGCUGUUUCUGCACUGCAUUGUUGCUGCCUUUGCAAAUGGAUUGGGCUGGAUGGGCUGAAGUUCCUUUUAGGAGACUUAAUGAAACACACUGUUUUGAUGUGCUGAUGCAAAAGAGGGGUCUUCUAAUGUGUGUUCAUUUGUGCGCAGAGAAGCUAGAGCAAAUUUAGGAUUCUUCCCCGAUUCUUUCAACCCUCGAGAUAGGGUUCUUCCAAUAGAGUGAAGAAGCGUUGCAGCAACUCUGGACGCGAGCUUCAAAGGCCCAAUGGAAGUAGGCCCAAGCUGAUCGGAAUUAAAUCGGAAGCAAGGCAUCUUGAUCAGAAGCUUGCAAUCCUAACCAGAAGCAGCGUGAACGGAGGAUGAAGGCAAAGAAAAUAAUCCAAGGCCCAAAAGGAUGAUCGGCCCAAAUGCGUGACCAGAAGAUGUUGAUCGGACCGGUGUCAGUUGGAGAACGAAGUAAAGCUGUCGCGAUCAAGAGUUAGUUGAAGAUGAUUCUAGAGGCUUGGUUCGUUUUCAGAUUCUUCCCCUUUUCCCCUUUUCUUUUUCUUUUCUGUUUU